UGAGUAAUCCGAGACACGAAUAGCUUGGAUGAAGCUACCGGAACUAACCGGUAAGGCUAAAUACGUGUAGAGAUCGAUAGUGAACUAGUACCGUGAGGGAAAGGUGAAAAGAACCCCGAUAAGGGGAGUGAAAUAGAUCUGAAACCAUACAUCUACAAAGAGUCGAAGAGGUCCUAGACCUCGACGGCGUGCCUAUUGAAGAAUGAGCCUGCGAGUGUAUGCAUGUGGCGCAUGACUAAGGGGUCAACCCCCGGAGUCGUAGGGAAACCGAGCGUUAAAAGCGCGAUAGUCGUAUGCAUAUGACCCGAAGCGAGGUGAGCUUGCCAUGAGCAGGGUGAACGUGGACGAAAGUCCACGGGAGGCCCGAACCCGUUGGUCGUUUAACGCCUUGGGAUGACUUGUGGUAAGGAGUGAAAAGCUAAUCGAACUUCGUGAUAGCUGGUUCUCUCCGAAACAGCUUUUGGGCUGGCGUCUCGUAUUAACCCUCGGGGGUAGAGCACUGGAAGAGGUGAACAGGGAGCAAUCUCGUCACUUCUAUCAAACUCCGAAUACCGAGUAGUACGACGAGGCAGUUAGACCAUGGGGGCGAAGCUCCAUUGGUCGAGAAGGGAAGAGCCUAGAUCUCAAGUUAAGGUCCCUAAAUCUAUGCUAAGUGCAUCUUAAGGAGGUGGAAAUUCUAUGACAGUGAGGAGGUUGGCUUAGAAGCAGCCACCCUUCAAAGAAAGCGUAACAGCUCACUCAUCGAGAAUUUCUGCGCCGAAGAUAAUCGGGGCUAAGCAUAGUACCGACACUGAGGACUCGUGACCGCUCCGGCGGACACGAUUGGUAGGAGAGCGUUCCAAUCCGCGAUGAAGGUAAAGGGGUGACCCAUACUGGAGCGUUUGGAAGUGAGAAUGCAGGCACAAGUAACCGCAAUGCGGGUGAGAACCCCGCACGUCGAAAGAUCAAGGUUUCCGCGGCACUGUCGAUCAACCGCGGGUUAGUCGGGCCUAAGGGGAUGGCGAAAGCCGCACCCGAUGGACACAUGGUUACUAUUCCAUGACUCGACAUGAUGGCGAAGGAGCAACGGAGUGUAGUACACACUGCGCAUUACUGGAUUUGCGUCCAGGUCGUGAGGAGGUAGGCUAGGAAAAUCCGGCCUACGCAUUCUCCAAGCGACACGGCAAUUUUCUGGGCAACCAGAGGAGAGAGUGUGGAGCACGCUUCCGAGAAAAACUUCUACGCUUAACAUCAUGUCAUCCGUACCGCAAACCAACACAGGUGAUCAGGGCGAGUAGCCCAAGACGAACGAGUGAGAGGUCCUCAAGGAACUCGGCAAAAAAGCGGCCGUAACUUCGGGAUAAGGCCUGCCCCGCCUUCAAGGCGGGGCCGCAGCGAAAGUUUCUCUGGCAACUGUUUACCAAAAACACAGCUCCCUGCGAACUCGCAAGAGGAUGUAUAGGGGGUGACGCCUGACCAAUGCCAGAAGGUCAAAUGUGGGGGGUAUGCGCCGCAAGGUGCAUGCUGAUCUACAUAAGCCCUGGUGAAUGUCGGCGAUAACUAUAAUCGUCCUAAGGUAGCGUAAUUCCUUGUCUGGUAGGUGAACUGCCAGUGCUCUCGGUGACGAGGGUAACAAAUCCGGCUCAUAACGGUGGAGCCCUCAUUCGAAAUGAAUGAGGGUAAUACCGUGGGAAGUCGUCCUAAGUGUAAUUAUGAAGGAUUGACCCCGUAUCGACUGUAGUCCCCACUAGUUAGUGGUGACUACGAUGGAGGUGCUGUACCCUAUAGGUAUGAGACACCUCCAUAACACGCCGGCUCUGAAAAACAGAAGCGUUGCAGAGUAUAUUUCUGGUUUUGCAGACGGUGAAGGAUGCUUUUCAGUAUCAUUCACCAAACGCCCACGAUUCCUCGUUGGGUGGGAGACAAAACCAAGUUUUUCGGUGAGUCAAAAUCGUAAUCGCGCACAACAGCUCUUCAUUAUGCAAAAGUAUUUUGGAUGCGGCUUUAUGCGCGACGGAAUAGUCGACAACACUAUCAAAUAUGAAGUGCGUCGACUCGAUGACUUACUUGAAAAAGUAAUUCCUCACUUUGAACGGUACCCACUGCUUUCAAGCAAGCAACGUGACGUCAAAGCAUUGAAAGAGGUGUGUCUCAUUAUGAAAAAGAAUGAACACAUCACUACUCAAGGAUUACGGAAGAUACUUCCUAUCGCAUUCAGUAUGAAUGGAAGCGGUAAACGGAAGUAUUCACAGAAAGACAUUCUGUCGUUUAUGAAAAUUCAGAUGAAGGUAUAGUCAGUGCCCUUGGUAACAAGGGAAGCGUCUGUGGAGGUUUGCACGCUCCACACUAAAGACACAUGAAGUUCAGACGUGCACGAAUGGCGUAAUGACUGGAGAACUGUCUCGAGGACUUGCUCGGUGAAAAUACAAUACCGGUGAAGAUGCCGGUUACCCGUGGUUAGACGAAAAGACCCCAGAAGCUUUACUGUAGCUUCAUAUUGGGGCUGCGGAGUGUAUGCGUAGCAUAGGUGGGAGAGGUUGAAGUAUUCCUUUCGGGGAAUAUGGACUCGAAAUAUGAAAUACCACUCUUACACUCGGCAGUUCCUAACCUUCUGAUAACACAGAGGAGACAGUGUGUGGUGGGCAGUUUUAGUGGGGCGCUAUCCUCCUAAAAAGUAGCGGAGGAGCCUACAAAGGUUAGCUAGGCGCGAAUGGAAACCGUGCCGGUUGUGUAAUGGCAUAAGCUAGCUUGACUGCAAGACGUGAAUGUCGAGCAGAUGCGAAAGCAGAGCAUAGUGAACCGCUGGUCCGCAUUAGAUGCGGCCAAAGAUCAUCUGACAAAAGUUACUCUGGGGAUAACAGGCUAGUACCGCCCAAGCGUCCAUAGCGACGGCGGUGUUCGGCACCUCGAUGUCGACUCACCACAUCCUGGGGCUGGAGAAGGUCCCAAGGGUUUGGCUGUUCGCCAAUUAAAGUGGUACGUGAGCUGGGUUCAGAACGUCGCGAGACAGUUUGGUCCCUAUCUGCCGUGGGCGUCGAAAUUUGAGAGGAGUUGACCCUAGUACGAGAGGACCGGGUUGAACAUACCUCUGGUGUACCUGUCGUCGUGCCAACGGCGCAGCAGGGUAGCUAUGUAUGGACGGGAUAACCGCUGAAAGCAUCUAAGCGGGAAGCCUCCCUCGAGAUAAGAUUUCAUAGAGCGGUCAGAGACCAUGACCUUGAUAGAUCGGAUGUGGAAGCGCGGUAACGCGUGGAGCUAACCGAUACUAAUUGCUCUAUUCGCGCUUGA
rnacentral:rRNA from 1 species